UCUUUUUGCAAGAAGAGUUUCUCUCUUAUAGACUUGACGAAUGGUCGUAUCUUUUUACGAUAAGUGUUGUGGAUGUUUUUAAUUUUAUACAAUAUCUUCUACUCAGCCACACAAGCCACACUAACCACAAUAUACUACCACAUCAAUAUAUCUCUCAUACUUCAUACAAGAUAUGAGGUGUGCGGCCAAAAGGCAACAAGUAAUAUUAUAUUAAGUCACCAU
rnacentral:lncRNA from 1 species